UGCAAGUCGAGCGGUAACAGGUGUAGCAAUACAUGCUGACGAGCGGCGAACGGGUGAGUAAUGCUUCGGAAUCUACCCAAUGGUGUGGAAUAACCAGCCGAAAGGUUGGCUAAUACCGCAUGAGCCCUACGGGGGAAAGCAGGGGAUCGUAAGACCUUGCGCCGAUGGAUGAGCCGAAGUCGGAUUAGCUAGUUGGUAGGGUAACGGCCUACCAAGGCGACGAUCCGUAGCUGGUCUGAGAGGACGACCAGCCACACUGGGACUGCGACACGGCCCAGACUCCUACGGGAGGCAGCAGUGGGGAAUAUUGGACAAUGGGGGAAACCCUGAUCCAGCGACGCCGCGUGUGUGAAGAAGGCCUGCGGGUUGUAAAGCACUUUUAGUGGGGAUGAAAAAUUCAGGGCUAAUAUCCCUGGGUCUUGACCUAACCCAAAGAAAAAGCACCGGCUAACUCUGUGCCAGCAGCCGCGGUAAUACAGAGGGUGCAAGCGUUAAUCGGAAUUACUGGGCGUAAAGCGUGCGUAGACGGUUAGAUAAGUCGGGUGUGAAAGCCCCGGGCUCAACCUGGGAAUUGCAUUCGAGACUGUUUAGCUAGGGUACGGAAGAGGGAAGCGGAAUUUCAGGUGUAGCGGUGAAAUGCGUAGAUAUCUGAAGGAACACCAGUGGCGAAAGCGGCUUCCUGGUCCAGUACCGACGUUCAGGCACGAAAGCGUGGGGAGCAAACAGGAUUAGAUACCCUG
rnacentral:rRNA from 1 species